ACAGCGUCAUGGCGUUUUGUCGGCAAAGAUGGAAUAUUUCAACUUUCGCGUUUGCUGCGUUUGACGCGACUUUGCCCAAACUCGACGUGCUGAAUUCACCCACCAACGCAGUAAAACUUUGGUUACUCCCGACAAAAUCUCCCUCCUUUCUACACACACACAACUACACACGCUGCUGCAUUCAAACAAACACUCAUGUCUUUCUGUGUGAGAAAUAACAACUUCUCCUCACAGAAGAUACAUUCUGGUCUCUUUCUUCACAAGCCGAGUGAUUACUUCCUUCUGUGCUUUGGUUUCUGUUUUAUGAUACUUGCACAGACAGACACACAAAUACACACACCUGAGGGGCGAAUCAAUGAGCAACAUGAUGUGUAAUUGGGGACUUUUUUCUCCCUCUGCAAAGCAGACUGAUUUGUUUUAAUUUAAUUUGGACUCUUUACGCUGAGAUAACAUUAAUGAAGUUUUUCUUCUUAACUUUAAACCACGGCGCUUCUGUCCCUGCUUUAUGUAGAGAUCUAUGAGCCAGGACUACCUGUCUGUCUGUCUGUCUCCCUUUCAGUCUCCCUGUUUCGGUCUACAUGUCUACCUAUCUGUUUACCUGUCUGUCGACCUACCCCCCUGUCACGGUUCAUGAAUCCAGCGCCCCCCCUUUUUUGGGGUUUUUGUUUUUUUAUGUGGGGGGGGGGGGGGGGUGAAGUGGGCGGAGUCAGCAGCCCAGCAUAAUCAACAGGGCAGCUGAUCACACUUUGCUGUAGCUGGUUUCGCUAUAAGACUCUCACGUGUCCCUCCUCUCACUGUCAGAUCGUUAUUUGAUGUCUCCCGUGUUCCUGGUCGCCGGAUCUCUGCCUCUGGGCUCAUCGUCAUCAUCGUCAUCAUCAUCAUCCUCCUCCUCCUCCCCGGGCUACGGGCUGACCACCCCGUCCAUGCGCCACCCACCACCAGGAGGAUCUCGGGCGCUUGGGGACUGCAAUUAUUGACUCUGACAUAAUAAACUCUGUUUUCACUCUCAUAUCUGCGUCCGCAUCUUUAGGAUCAUGACACUACCUGUAUGUCUACUUUUUAGUUUACCAGUCCACCUGUCUGUUUACCUGUCUCCCUGUAUGUCUACCUGUCCCACUACCAGUCCACCUGUCUGUUUACCUGUCUCCCUGUAUGUCUACCUGUCCCACUACCAGUCCACCUGUCUGUUUACCUGUCUCCCUGUAUGUCUACCUGUCCCACUACCAGUCCACCUGUCUGUUUACCUGUCUCCCUGUAUGUCUACCUGUCCCACUACCAGUCUACCUGUUGGUCUAUCCCACUUUCGGUUUACCGGUCUGCCUGUCUGCCUGUCUACUUUGUCAGUUAAGGGUAGUUUGAUUCAUGUCUGGUGGGGGUUGUUUUCUGUUCUUUUAACCACUUAAAGUGCUUUAAUAUGACAUGUUAUUAUUCACUCAUAAAGAUAUACAAACUAGAUUUAUGUAAACGUGUGCAACCUCUAAAAGAUAUAUGUAAAGAUUGAUAUAAUAGAAGGGCGAUAAGGCAGAUCAAAUCAAGAAGGGGCAGGCGGGGAAUCCGUGGUCAAAAGACAGGCGAGGUCAUAACAAAAGUAUAUUGAGCUCACUGGGAGAACGCUGGAUAACUUGGAAAACACACAGAAUCUGGUAGGGAAUCUGUGAGGGAAUCUGGUAGGAAACUGGCGAGUGGCUGAUGAGUGGAUGUGCUGCAGGUGAGAACCAGGUGUGCGUAAUGAGCUCAUAAUGUGGGAUGAUCUGAAAUGACAAGAGUAAGAAAACAUGCAGGUAAGAUGAAAAAAAAGUGCGAUCAACUUUGUGACAUAACGACAUACAACCUUACCGAUAUAUAACCUUUGUAGGUAUACAUAUGACAUUUGUAGGUAUAAAGAUAUAUAACCUCUAUAGAUAUACAGAUAUAUAACCUCUGUAGAUUUAAGCAAUAAGUUGCCUUUAUAAUACGGUACCAGCGAAAUUAUAAAUAUUAAGUAAAUAGUUGCCUUUUAGCACAAAAUAGUUGUAGCCACCAAACAUUGUGUAUCUCAUUUCAGUAGUCUACAGAAAAAUACUCCCUGUACGUGCAUGUAAACCGCAUUGGGUUCAUUCGAUGACGUCCACCUUAAUUGUCCGGUUGCAAAAGUUCGCAUUGCCUGAAACUGAUCAUUUGUGGGACUUUUUUCGGUCUUUUUUCUGCGAUCGGCACCGAGCUAAAAGCUAAAAUGUCAAUCAGUCGCGCGAAAGCUAACCUGUUACUUUGAGUGCGCAGUGAUGUGGAACGUUCGGUCAAUGUGAACAGGUACUGUACAUUAUCGCCCAAUUAUAGAGCCCCCAUGACUCACUCUCAACCAAUCAGAACACUGGAUUGCAUCUACCCGUGUUAUAGUAUACAGAUAUAUAACCUCUAUACAUAUAAAGAUAGGAAUAUUUUUUUAUACAAUAUAAUGCUAAAGGGAACAUUGCUGACUGAAAACAUGAAUCCUCAAAAGAACAUGAGCUGUUUUUGUUCUGCAACCAAAAGAAUUACACAUGAAACAAUUAAACCUGUUUCCUUUCAUCUGUGAAUGGUGAGGUCGAAAGGGCCUGGGGUGCGUCUGUUUGUGUGUAUGUAAAAGGGGGGGGGGCGGGGGUGUGUGUGUGCGCGCGGGGUGCGUGCAUGGGUGCGUGUGUGUGUGUGUAUGUGUGCGCGCGGGGUGCAUGCGUGUGUGUGUGCGCGCGGGGUGCGUGCAUGGGUGCGUGUGUGUGUGUGUGUGUGCGUGUGUGUGUGUGCGGGGUGGUGUGUGUGUGUGCGUGUGUGUGUGGGUGCGUGCGGGGUGGUGUGUGUGUGUGCGUGUGUGUGUGGGUGCGUGCAUGGGUGCGUGUGUGUGUGUGCGCGGGGGGUGUGCAUGUGUGUGCGUGUGUGCGUGCGUGUGUGUGCGCGGGGGGUGUGCAUGUGUGUGUGUGUGUGCGUGUGUGCGUGUGCGUGUGCGUGUGUGUGUGUGUGUGUGUGUGUGCGCGGGGUGCGUGUGUGAUUGAGCGAGCUUUAGUAAUAUACAAUUGAAUACCCUGACACCCGAUGGUCUUCAUCCUGAGGGCACAUCCUCCUCUCUCAAGAACGCUCUGUCUUCAUCACAGUCUGGUGAACAUCUUGUUGUUUUUGUCACAGUUUUCAGGACAUCCUGUUGUUGUAAUUACAGUCUUUUUGACAUCAUUUUGUCUUGUUAUGUCUGGCAGGAGGAAGCUGAAAACAGAAGAGUACAUCAUAAUGGUCCUCCUUUGAGUAAAUGUAAUUCAAUCCGGAGAGACUUGUUGAAAUUUGAAUAAUGCUUUAUUAUAACAGGUAUAAUAUGAUAUUGCAAGUUGUUUGGGGCUUGGACUCCAUCCUGCCGCAGAAUAGAGCCGGGGCCGGGAUCUCGAGCCGAGACGAGGCACAUCCCCCCCUUGGGAGUCCAGACACUGGUGGUGGUGGUAGAGCCCACGUUGCAUAAUUCUCCUGCUACGCCAGGUUCUGCUGUAGACUGGAGGUGUCCGGGGUGGUGGCGGGUGACCUUUGCCGGUGGUGGCGGGUCACCUUUGGGGGUGGUGGCGGGUCACCUUUGGCGGUGGUGACGGGUCACCUUUGGGGGUGGUGGCGGGUCACCUUUGGGGGUGGUGGCGGCUUCACCUUUGGGGGUGGUGGCGGGUCACCUUUGGCGGUGGUGACGGGUCACCUUUGGGGGUGGUGGCGGGUCACCUUUGGCGGUGGUGGCGGGUCACCUUUGGGGGUGGUGGCGGGUCACCUUUGGAGCGAGCUGAAAUGACAACUGACGGCACAAGAGAGGAGAACCGUUUUUUCGCCUAAGCUUCAUUUAGUUGCUUUCCCACUCUGUGCUUUACUGCUUUUAGUGACAGGUGUUUGUUAGAGUUUCCAGAUGCUUCUCCAGUACGGAGGUCCAGCUGUAAGAGAAGCAACGCUCUACUUCAUUAAAAAAAGACUCAAAUAAGGAAGAAGGAACAGAAGAGAGUUACCUGUGAAGACUCAGAUGUGACGAGAGAGGAAGAGGACGAUGAUGAGGAAGUCAUCUUCAGUCUCCAGAGUGACUUCAGCAGGAGCUUUCAACUCCUCGGGUGUCCUACAAAAGUGAGAUUAUUGUGACCUUCAGUAUUCACAACUGGAGAUCAAGUUGUCCAUGACAAACGUCUGUGGGUAAGAGCUAUUUAUAUCAUAGAAUCUUCCAACCCUUCAGAAGAACAAAGGAUCUCCUCCUGUUCUGCUUCAAACACAAAUAGAGAACAAAGAUCGGCAAACUUGGAUGUGUAUUCAUAAACACAGCAUUAAAAUAUAUUAACAUCACUUUGUUCUCGCUGUACUUUUCGGAGUCCCUCGGCUCCUUUAAAUCUAGAUUAAAGACUUCUGUUGGAUGCUGCUUUUAAUUUACUGUGUUUAGUAUUUUGGUACUUUUAAACUACACUGCAGAAUUUAUUCUAUUUUUAGUUUUUUAACGUUGUUUUUUGAAUGACUUUUUCUUUCAUGUUUCAAUCAUCGGACCAAGGACUCAUCUCUUUUCUUGUCUUACUGGACCUCAGUGCCACAUUUGACACAAUUGAUCGUUGUAUCCUGUUGCAGAGACUAGAACAUUUGACUGGUAUUAAACAAACCGCCCUCAGCUGGUUUUAGUCGUAUUUAUUGGAUCGAUCCAGUUGGUGUUUGUAAAUGGUCGAUCAGCGAUGACCACCAAUGUUGGUCACAGAGUCCCAGAAGGUUCUGGGCUUGGACCGAUUUAGUUUACCCUCUAUUUGCUUCCUUUGCUACCUUUGACCCGCUGACACAGGUGGGCGUGGCAGUCAGGAACACUUCUAUCAUGUUUACCUGCUUCUUUGCAUUCACUUUAGUUUUAAUCUUGCUUUAAACUUCUCUUCCCUUUAAGACGAGCCUAGAAACUAAAUGUAAAAUAACGUGAUGGGACAAAAAUGUGUAACAGUCUACUGAGCACGUAGCUGUUGUGACCCUUGUCUCCUAGCAAGGAAAUAAAUGGAGAAAGACAUUUGAUUCAGAAAUUAAUUAAUGUUAAUGUGUUAAUAAAAUGUUAAUAAAAUGUUACCCACAGAGAUUUUCCGAUUGUCUGUGCAAAUCUUCCAUCACAAACCAUGGUGAUGAACACAAUGUCAUGUAAUUGCAUGUAUUAUACAUUGUUCUGUACACAUGGCAUCCAUUGUAGUCUGUCCAUCAGGAGACGGAUCCCUCCUCUGACCUUCUCACUAAGGUUUCUACCCUUUUUUUCCCUCUUGGAAGGUUUUUUCAUUGUUUGGGGAGUUGUUCCUGUGCCGAUGGAGGGUUUCUGGACAGAGGAUGUUGUAUGUGUACAGACUGUAAAGCCCUCUGAGGCAAAUUUGUAAUUUGCGAUUUUGGUCUAUACAAAAUAAAAUUAAUUGAAUUAAAUGAAUUAAACGUCAAAGUUAUAAACACAAUAUCUUUGCUCUUUUCACAGGAGAUUGCCGGGUUUUCAAGAGAGUUAUUCGCCAUAUUUUAUAUCUGAUUAUUGACCAGUUUGCCAGUCUUCUUGUCCCUUGUUUGAGCACUCUGAGGUGAGUAAAAGAUUCAUUAGCUGCCGCGUUUAAACCAAAAGACCCCCUCUCGUGCGCUCAUAUUUACCAGCUGAAGGGCCAACCACGAAGGCAGCGUUUGUUGACUGAAGGAUGAACGUGAAUGUGAGUCUGUGAUUGUCUUUGUGUCCUCAGCUGAAGAGUUGCUCUGUAAUUUGUUUGCCUGCUGAAGAGUGUCAGCUGAAGUCUGGCGUCUUUAAAAGCUCAGCCUGACAAGUAAAUGGAUGAAAAUUGCCAGAGAAGAAGCUUGUUUGGGAUUUUGUUUUGAUUUCCCGCAGAAUGACAUUCCUUUUAGGAAAUGGCAGAGUGAUAAAUGAUUGUGGAUUCUGUUGGGUUGGGGCGACCCUGAUUUAGACCUGGGGUAUCUUUCUCUUUGCCGUAAUGUCCCCCAUUUACCCCUCACCGGAUGCACAAAUGGAUGUCGAUAUUCUUUGUGCCAUCAAAAGUCCAAACUUGUGCGCAAAUACCGUCCUGACUUUAUUAAGUACGGCUUCGUAAACGGAGGUAAUGAGGCGGAGCCGAGAGCCCAGUGUGUGGAGUGUGGACUAACGCUCUCCAACAAAGCAUUGAAGCCGUCAAAAUGAAUGUGCCACUUUGAAAGCAAACAUCCAACGCUUGUGGGAGUUCUGGUUCACAGCCAGGGCUGGCUCAGGUUCACAGUCAGGGCUGGCUCAGGUUCACAGUUAGGGCUGGCUCAGGUUCACAGUCAGGGCUGUCUCAGGUUCACAGUCAGGGCUGGCUGAGGUUCACAGUCAGGGCUGGCUGAGGUUCACAGUCAGGGCUGGCUCAAGUUCACAGUCAGGGCUGGCUCAGGUUCACAGUCAGGGCUGGCUGAGGUUCACAGUCAGGGCUGGCUCAAGUUCACAGUCAGGGCUGGCUCAGGUUCACAGUCAGGGCUGGCUGAGGUUCACAGUCAGGGCUGGCUCAAGUUCACAGUCAGGGCUGGCUCAAGUUCACAGUCAGGGCUGGCUCAGGUUCACAGUCAGGGCUGCCUCAGAUUCACAGUCAGGGCUGGCUGAGGUUCACAGUCAGGGCUGGCUCAGGUUCACAGUCAGGGCUGGCUCAGGUUCACAGUCAGGGCUGGCUGAGGUUCUCAGUCAGGGCUGGCUCAGGUUCACAGUCAGGGCUGGCUGAGGUUCUCAGUCAGGGCUGGCUCAGGUUCACAGUCAGGUCUGGCUGAGGCUCUCAGUCAGGGCUGGCUCAGGUUCACAGUUGGCUCAGAUUUCUGCUGUUGUCUGCUUAGUAGUAGUGAACAGUCAGCUUGUUCUCUGACCACGUUGAUUUUUUUUAACCUUACUCAAACGCCUUCUCGUGAAGUGAAUAUUUUCUUCAUGCACGUCAUGUUCUGUUUACAGUAAAAUGAUCUGAUAGAUUAAAGUCUGAUGGUAAAAAGAUAAAGUAAUAAUCAUCUUAUAAUACAGAGGGAACAUUCUCCUUUAGUCACAGCUUCCCCUGGAGUAUCCGGUGGAUGUUCCUCCAAACAUGUUUAUUCAUAAGAGCCAGAUAUGUAUUUAUAUGCAUUUAUUUAGUGGACUGAAGCCAUAUUGGCAGAGCUCCCCAUUUCAAAGCUGUUUUGAUCACAUUUCUGUGUAAAUACUGAGAUUCAGCCUCUAUACGUGCUCAAGAAGAAAAAAUUACAGAAAUAUAAGUGUGUGUGUGUGUGUGUGGGCGAGCGAGCAACACUUUGUUUUGUCAUGUCGAGGGCUCUGCCUGAGAAGGAAAUUGGAAACAGCAUUCUUCUUUCAUCUCUCUGCCUCCCCACCAACUCAAACACACACACAUUCCCUCAAAAAUCACACAUCUUUUCCUCCAGCUAGUUGAUCCCACCUGAAAGCUCUCUGAUGCAAACACGUGAACCUCUGAACACACUGAUGAAUCCUGAAGCAGGCAGCAGAGGUGUGUGUGUGUGUGUGUGUGUGUGUGUGUGUGUGUGUGUCUCCUCCGUUCAUAAAAGCAGAUCUUGAGGUGAUAGAAAACAAACAAUGAAGACGUCUGAAAUGAAAGCAGGAAAACAAAAGAGGAUUUAAGAGAAUCUGAGUCUGCAGCUUUUAAUUCUUUUCUCUCUGGGUCACACACACACACACUUUCACUUUGAUGUAAUGAAAACUUGUUAGAAGACGUACUGUUUUACGUAACUACAUUAAAGCUGUUUAAACUUUACAGCCUUCGUGGACUUUUUAGAGGCAGUUUGAAUCACGUCGUUAUCGUGAAAACAUGUUUUUGAAGACACUACAACUUGUGUCUGCCUGGUUGGCACUUUCUGCUUUGCCCUCUGACCUUUCACUCCUCAACCAGUGACUCCCUACAUGAGAACUGGGAAAAUCGUUUUCGAUUAUCACUUAUUGUGUUACAUGUGUUCAAUGACACACUCUCUCUCUGAGUGGCGCUGAGAGCGAUGACGUUUUGCAGCUGGUCGGCGUGCUAAACGCCGCCAUGGACCCGGAGGUCCAGAGAAGACCUCCACUGGUCACAACUGAGACGGCAGGAAGGACAACCGAGGACAGUGGGGGUCCAGCAGGGGGUGAAAAAGGGACAGGUCGAGUCCAGGAGAGUGUGGUGAGUGAAUGCAGAGUCCAGCUGGUGGAGAGAGGGACUCUCAUUAUGUAUUGAUUCAUAUGCUCCUCGGUAUGUAUUGAUCUGCUGCCGCCUCACUGACAACAAAUUGGUUGUGAAAGUGAAAGUGAAAGAGGAAAAGGUCAAAUUGCUCUGUUUGUAAAAGGUCAAAGCUCACCUGUGACUGUUACACCUCCAGUUAGAGUAUCAGACUGAAGAAGUGCGCCCGAGAACAAUUGAAGGACCAUAAACUACAACAGAUUUACAGCGCCUUGCAUAAGUCAUUUCAUUGGGAUUUUAUGUAAUGGACCAACACAAAACAGUCCACCAUAUGGAUUUUACUAACAAACCCUGACAAAGAUCUGGGUCAACCAAUUGCCCUCACAGGUUUUCAAGUCACAUAAUUAUUAGAUUUGGUGCAACGUCUCAGGAUAAAUACACUACUGUAUUAGUGUGAUGCAUUACUGUGUAGUGUAGUCGGACAUGUAGUCCGACAGGAAGUCACCAUGUUCAUGUAGUCCGACAGGAAGUCACCAUGUUCAUGUAGUCCGACAGGAAGUCGCCGUGUUCAUGUAGUCCGACAGGAAGUCGCCGUGUUCAUGUAGUCCGACAGGAAGUCGCCGUGUUCAUGUAGUCCGACAGGAAGUCGCCGUGUUCAUGUAGUCCGACAGGAAGUCACCAUGUUCAUGUAGUCCGACAGGAAGUCACCAUGUUCAUGUAGUCCGACAGGAAGUCGCCAUGUUCAUGUAGUCCGACAGGAAGUCGCCGUGUUCAUGUAGUCCGACAGGAAGUCGCCGUGUUCAUGUAGUCCGACAGGAAGUCGCCGUGUUCAUGUAG
ensembl:lncRNA